CCUACGGGUGGCAGCAGUGAGGAAUAUUGGGCAAUGGGGGCAACCCUGACCCAGCCAUGCCGCGUGAGUGAAGAAGGUCUUCGGAUUGUAAAGCUCUUUCGGACGUGACGAUGAUGACGGUAGCGUCUAAAGAAGCACCGGCAAACUUCGUGCCAGCAGCCGCGGUAAUACGUAGGGGGCGAGCGUUGUCCGGAAUUACUGGGCGUAAAGAGAGCGUAGGCGGCACUACAAGUCUCAUGUGAAAUACCCGGGCUUAACUUGGGGGUUGCAUGGGAAACUGGCAAACUGGAGUGUGUGAGAGGAUAGUGGAAUUCCAGGUGUAGGAGUGAAAUCCGUAGAUAUCUGGAGGAACAUCAGUGGCGAAGGCGACUAUCUGGCACAUAACUGACGCUGAGGAGCGAAAGCGUGGGUAGCAAACAGGAUUAGAUACCCGAGUAGUC
rnacentral:rRNA from 1 species